UAUGGGCGCUCUUAGAUUCGUAUUCUAACGUAGAUUAUAUAUUUGAUAGACUCUGUCCGUUCGGAAGCACUUCAGAAGGAAAAAGCUUUGGCGUGAAAGUUCGUGACACCUGUUCGGCAUUGAGAGUUAUUUUCAGGUGAUGUUCGGAGUCUCACGACCGUUUCGAGGCAUUCGUCAAAGGCGUUUGGGUGAGCUAUUUGAGAUCUUGCAACCCAGAGUCUCUCCUUAGAUUUCUGUUGUUCUCUAUCCUUAAACAGAAGUCGUAUCCAGUUUGAGUCUGUUAUCUACUUCAAAUUGUAAACUUCUUAGAAGCUCUUGUAUGAGUCUAGACCAGGUUUUGGGAAUUUCUUAUAAUAAAAGUAUUUAUUCCGCA